rnacentral:lncRNA from 1 species
CAUGAUAUGACUAUAUAUGAUGUUUGUACAUGAAGUAUAAAGUUUGAGAAAAAUCGGAUUUAAGUUGCGGAAAAACCGACUAAAGAUUUGCCUUGUAAUGGAGCUUAUUGAGUAAUAAAUUUCGUGUUCUAUAUGAGGUCUUUUUGGGACAUAUUAUAUACCAAAUUGAAGGUCUUGAAAUGUAUUUUCCAACGCUCUUAACCAUUUUUUCAUACGACAUCCGGAUAAAAAGAUAUAAGUAUUUGAAAAAGGGCCAAUGAGAUGGUGCCAAGUAGCACCUUUUGACUUUUCAACCAAAAUGGAUAUUUAUCUUCCUAUGUCGUCUCUUUCUUCAUAAUUCCAGAGAGCUCGACCAAAUAAUACCCCUAACCUCACCCUUAAGCUUUCCACAAGGUUAUCCAACAAGAUUAUCGUCCGAGGCACGAAAUCACGAAGCAAUAACACUAGAACGAUCCCCACGACGUAAGUAUCACUAUAUAACCUUUCUUUUUCUUUGUAGUUUCAGUUUUGGAAGGUAUUUUGAGGUUAAUAAAAAUGCCUAAUUUCUGGUUUCAGGCUCUUAAACAUCAAGGAAGAUUGAUGAAUUUAUUUCAUAAUAGUUAGAAAUCACGGGACGGUGAUCGGAAGCCGUGAGUUCGAGUUAUUUGAUUUGUAAUGGA